rnacentral:lncRNA from 1 species
CAGCGGAGGAGUCGCUCAGUGUAGUGCAGCGCGCGCGCGUGUGUGCGGGUAUCCAGAUGGAUAUUAUGGGAUACACGUGCUUCAGCACUCUCUGGAUAUCACAUGAGGAUGAUGCCGACUGCGCUCUAUGGAGAUGAGCAGGACUCAGUCUCGUGGAUUAUUUCACACACGCGGAUUAACCUCACCAUCACCUCCACAUGUGGAUUACACUCACCCCGCAGCCGGAGGACACACGGAUGAUCUGUUAAUCAUCUGGACCAGCGUUUGCUUUACUGCGACAGCGGCUGGACCGGCCGGUUUGCUCUAAUCCAGGAUAUAAACGCUCCUAUAACCAGAAGACACGGAAACUUGGCAGAACACACACUCUCAGUUGGGCUCCGGCCAGAUCUGAUGCUGACGCUGGCUGAGCGUCCAUACACACAUCAGGAGUCGCUCGAUACAGCAGCGUUCACAUCCAAUGACAGAGUGAAGAUCCAUCAGCUCCUGCUGAACAUGCACACACACAUCAC